rnacentral:rRNA from 1 species
GACGUGGGGGGCCAGCGUUGCUCGGAAUUACUGGGUGUAAAGGGUUCGUAGGCGGUGUAGCAAGUUGGGAGUGAAAUCUCUGGGCUCAACCCAGAGGCUGCUUCCAAAACUGCCAUGCUUGAGUGUGGGAGAGGCGCGUGGAAUUGCAGGUGUAGCGGUGAAAUGCGUAGAUAUCUGCAGGAACACCCGUGGCGAAAGCGGCGCGCUGGACCACAACUGACGCUGAGGCACGAAGGCCAGGGGAGCAAACGGG